rnacentral:sRNA from 1 species
UAGAGUAACAAAAUUGAGAAAAAUAUUGUAGUCCGGAAUGGUUGUGAUGGUUAGGACAGACAAAUCCAUUUGUUUGAAGAGAUUUUCGUUUACCAUUCAUAAACUAUAAUCCGUUACUGUUUUAGUCCGCUUUGCCCAUAUCUACCAUUCAAAGCGUACGUGUAAUCCUUUGCAUUCCUCUACAGUUCUACUAUUUACCAU